GAAAACAUGCAGCAAAAAGGAGUAUCCAUACAGGCUGAAUUUUUCAAAUGUACCUGAACCUCAAGACCAGGUAAGGCAUACUUUCCCCCUAAAUUUGGAAGGAAGGAAGAAACCUUCUCAGGUCUCCUCAGAUGAGGAGAGGUGGAGGAGAUCACAGUAAAUUCCUGCAAUCUCUUUUUCACCCUCCUUGGCAGAAAAGUGGAAAAUGAACCAUUUUAUCGACUAUUGAGCUGUUUCCUCCUCUUUAACUGAGAACGAAGUCCAGCUAAGCAUCAGGGAAAAGGAUGCUGGCUUUCAUUGUGGGCCCCUAUCCAGGGCAAAUUGUAAUAAGCAUGGAUGAAAGGAAACCUUGGGAAGUGCCUCUUUAAAGCUCUCUUGGCAGACCAAAGAAGCCUAAAGAAACUUGGCUUUUGUUGUCCCUUUCAUGGUGAGGGAGAGCUGUCAGAAGCCUCCAGAAAAGGUGCUUCCUUGAAGACAGGAGUGGAGGGGUUUUGCAGCUGCAUCUGACAAUGUCUGCAGCUUACCAGUGGACAGAACCCAGCCUUCAUUCUGUUUGGACUCUUUCACAUGGACCACAAUUGGAAGGUUAAUGCAGGUGCAUCCUGGGUGCAAUCCUGGGAUUGAGUGUGAUUUCGAGAAAGAUGUUCACACGAAAUCGAAGGCAAUGCUAAGUCAAUUCACACGGGAACCAGAGGAAUCCCAAGGAUGGAGUCAGAAUCCAAUGCUCAAAGAACGUGAAAUAAAGGGCAAUGAAUAAUAACAUGAAACAAGGGAAAAACAAAAUAAUGCGAAACAAGGCAAAACAAAAUAACAUGAAACAAGGCAAAACAACGAGAACUGGAAGCAAGCCCCACUGGAAGUGUAAAAAGGUCACAAUCCCAUUCUGCCCUCACUGCGCAUGUGCUGGGAUUUGAAUUCUAAACUAUGAAGGUUGUCCUAGUUGUCAGGAAGAGCAUUAGGCUUGGGCUUGGACUUGAAGCGUUUGCAGUUGAAUCAGAACCCUCAUCAUCAUCACUGCCCCAUUUAUGCUUAACUUUUAGAUCUAGUUGACUUCGUGGAGAUGGAUUAGGCCUAGAUCAUGGAGGAUUUACAUAAAUCCAAUGUAGAUAAUGAAGAAAUUGAAAUAGUUAAAGAUUUCCCAUACCUUGGAUCAAUCAUUGAUCAGAAUGGGGAUUGAAGUCAGGAAGUCAGAAGAAGACUCAGAAAGGCAGCCAUGAAAGAACUAGACAAGCUCCUGAAGUGCAAAAAGAUACAACUGAACACUAAAGCUAGAAUUGCCCAUGCCAUUGUAUUUCUCUUCACUAUGUACGGGUGUGAGAGCUGGCUGGUAAAGAAAGCUGAUAACCAGAAAAUCAACUCAUUUGAGAUGUGGUGGUAGAGAAGACUUCUGGGGAUACUGUGGAUGGCUAAAAAGACAAAUAAAUGGGUCCUAGAAUAAAUCAAGCCUGAA